rnacentral:misc_RNA from 1 species
GAUGAAGAACGCAGCGAAAUGCGAUAAGUAAUGUGAAUUGCAGAAUUCAGUGAAUCAUCGAAUCUUUGAACGCACAUUGCGCCCGUCAGUAUUCUGGCGGGCAUGCCUGUUCGAGCGUCAUUACAACCCUCAGGCCCCCGGGCCUGGCGUUGGGGAUCGGCAGAAGCCCCCUGUGGGCACACGCCGUCCCUCAAAUACAGUGGCGGUCCCGCCGCAGCUUCCAUUGCGUAGUAGCUAACACCUCGCAACUGGAGAGCGGCGCGGCCAUGCCGUAAAACACCCAACUUCUGAAUGUUGACCUCGAAUCAGGUAGGAAUACCCGCUGAACUUAAGCAUAUCAAUAAGCGGAGGA